GGAAUAUAAAUCCUAUACUAAGUAGGAAUAAAAUCCUCCAUAACAGAUCUGAAGUUGAGACUAGGGGCAUUUUACUAAAACUAAGUAAAAAAAAUUAAUUGCAGAGAUUGUCUAAAAACAAAACCAUGGCAAAUUUUGCCACCUCGGCAAAGUCUAGCAUAAAACCAACAAUAUAACUAUCGGUAUUGAGUACUGACAUCAAUAGAAUCAGUAACAUAAUGGGGAAAAAAAAUAAUAAUCAUAUGCCCAUUGUAAUACAAUCGGUUAGUUAGAGAAUCUCCGACAAGUCAGCUUAUUGUAUGUUUGCGAUUUCCUCUUGGCAUGUGUCAGUGUAUGUGCAAGUCGAUACAACCAACUAAAGUGUUGGAAUAUCUGAAAAGAGAAUCUCUAUGGUUUUUAGAGACUUGUUUAAUUGGACUAAACAUAUCAACUGUUAUAUAAUUGUUAUGAUAUUUAACAUUCUCUCAAAAAAUUUGCUCACACUCUUUAACCUCUUAGCAUUUUACCGAUUCUUAUACUUUCAUCUCUCACAUUUUACUCUUUAACACCUUAAUUUAUUUAAGGUAAGCAAGUUAGAUAAAUUUUAAUGGUAUUUAUUUAAAAAAAAUGUUGAUA
rnacentral:misc_RNA from 1 species